rnacentral:sRNA from 1 species
GUAGAUGCUCAUUCCAUUUCUUAUGUUCGCGCAAGCCUCAUAAACCCGGGAAUGACGCAGAGCCGAUUGCGGUGCCUAUUGUCCGAAUCCGAUGAAGCGUGUUAACACACAUCAUCAGCCUGUGGACACAACGUUGAGUGAGGCACCAAUCUGUUGUCCUAUAGAUCUGAUUGUCCUUUUUAGACACUUGCCGGCAGGCAGGUGUUUUUUU